rnacentral:rRNA from 1 species
CGGGGGGGCGAGCGUUGUUCGGAAUUACUGGGCGUAAAGGGCGCGUAGGCGGUCUGUUAAGUUGGAUGUGAAAACUCUGGGCUUAACCCAGAGCCUGCAUCCAAAACUAGCAGGCUAGAGUUCUGGAGGGGAUAGCGGAAUUCCUGGUGUAGCGGUGAAAUGCGUAGAUAUCAGGAGGAACACCGGUGGCGAAGGCGGCUAUCUGGACAGAAACUGACGCUGAGGCGCGAAAGCUAGGGGAGCAAACAGGAUUAGAUACCCUGGUAGUCCUAGCCCUAAACGAUGGAUACUUGGUGUAGCUGGGAUUGAAUCCAGCUGUGCCGAAGCUAACGCAUUAAGUAUCCCGCCUGGGGAGUACGGUCGCAAGGCUG